rnacentral:rRNA from 1 species
GCACCCGAGUGAGGGCAAGGUUGUGCCUCACGUAAGUCGAAAUGACUCUCGACAACGAAUAUCUCAGCUCUCACAUUGAUGAAGAACGUAGCGAUAUGCGAUACUUGGUGUGAAUUGCAGAAUCCCUGAACCAUCGAGUCUUUGAACGCAAGUUGCGCCCAAAGCCUUCGGGUC